rnacentral:lncRNA from 1 species
UUAAAAAGUUCCAUUUACAAUCUUUACUUAUAUAUAUAUAUAUAUAUUAUAUAUAAAUAAACAUUUUAAAUUUUGAUUUUCCACCUCCCUAUUACAGUUUCUCAGAAUUUUAAGUGUUGAGGAGAAAUUUGAACUGAUCAUUUAUCUCCACUUCAGCUUUUAAUUCUGUUUUAGAUAUUAAAAUACAUUAUACAGGAAAAAAUAAAUAUAUAUUUUUCAUCCAAUUUUUUUUCUAGCUUUCAAUAAUAUAUAUACUAUGUGAUCAAAAAUGAACAUUCCCAUUUCCUAAUUUUAUGUUGCAUUUUAUUUUAUCUGUAAAUAUAACAUUGCUACAGUUAGAUUUUUCCAUUUAUUCUAAUUUAGACUUGGGAGAAUGUAUAACAUAAGUGUGAUAAUAAAAAAAAAAUGCUUGCUUACUAUGAUAUUUGCAUUAAGAUCUUUUGUAGACGAAUGAUAUAAAAGUAAAUGAUAAUGAUUGGAACAGAGAUUUGAAAUUUAAAUUUAUUGUAAUUUAUGAUUCAUAUAGGUCAGUCACAUGCUAAUGGUAAAUUCUUGUCAUGUAUUGAGUACUAUUAGUUUUAAGGUCUCUUUGCUGUAUAUAAUUAGCUUUAACAGUGCAGUGCAUGACAUCAAAGUCACAAAUGUAAGUGUUCUGUACAGGCUUUUUGUAGUGCCUACUUUUUAAUGUGCCAUUUUUUGAAGUAAAUUUUGACCUCGACUUGUGAAUUGUAGGCUACUUAAUAGUUGUCACUUUCAGACAUUUCUUAGUGGGUUCACAGAUGUAUCGAUGGCUGUUUCGAAAUGCAUACCGGAAGUAUCGUACAUAAAACAUCUUUCAUCAAUAAUAGAGGUUACUAAUGUUGUUUAUUUUUUUGUUGCUUUUAUGGUAUGCAAUGAUUUUUAACCUGUGGAUUUUACAUAUCAAGUUGCAUGUUAGGAAAACUUUCAUUGCUGGUAAUAUAGAAAGAAAUGUGCUUUGUAAAAUAAAAUAUGCUACCAUGAAGGAAAAAAAAUGUCAGAUUAUCUUGCCAGGAAUGAUGUAUAAAAUAAUCUUCAUAGAAAGUCACGGAAGUAAGACUUCAUAGUUUUAAGUCUCUGUAAUGAAAAAUAGUCGAAUUUAAACUUUCAUCAGGAAUGUAUUAAAUAACGAUUGUUUUACAAGAAUAUAUUUUUAUGAUUAAAUCUAAAUAGCUCGGUAUUUAGCUGAGCAAAUCCAUAUUUCUCGACUGAUUUCAGACAUUAUGUAAUACAGAAAUUGGUCUGUUAGAAAUUAAUGUGAUUAUUAAUAGGAGUUCAAAAUAGAAUAUUUUGUUGCCUAUUUCAUAAUACCACUGCCCUUUCCAACAUUAUAGAUCAAUAAAUAAAUAA